rnacentral:rRNA from 1 species
GAUGAACGCUAGCGGCAGGCUUAAUACAUGCAAGUCGAGGGGCAGCACAGGUAGCAAUACUGGGUGGCGACCGGCAAACGGGUGCGGAACACGUACACAACUUACCUUAGAGUGGGGGAUAGCCCAGGGAAACUUGGAUUAAUACCCCAUAAAACAGGGGGCCCGCAUGGGCAUAUUGUUAAAGAUUUAUCGCUUUAAGAUGGGUGUGCGUAUGAUUAGGUAGUUGGUAGGGUAAAGGCCUACCAAGCCGACGAUCAUUAACUGGUGUGAGAGCACGACCAGUCACACGGGCACGGAGACACGGGCCCGACUCCGACGGGAGGCAGCAGUCAGGAAUAUUGGUCAAUGGACGGAAGUCUGAACCAGCCAUGCCGCGUGAAGGAUGAAGGUCCUCUGGAUUGUAAACUUCUUUUAUAGGGGGCGAAAAAGGGCCAUUCUUGGUCAACUGACGGUACCCUAUGAAUAAGCACCGGCUAACUCCGUGCCAGCAGCCGCAGUAA